CGAUACUUGGUGUGAAUUGCAGAAUUCCGUGAAUCAUCGAAUCUUUGAACGCACAUUGCGCCCCCUGGCAUUCCGGGGGGCAUGCCUGUCCGAGCGUCAUUUCUGCCCUCAAGCACGGCUUGUGUGUUGGGUGUGGUCCCCCCGGGGACCUGCCCGAAAGGCAGCGGCGACGCCCGUCUGGUCCUCGAGCGUAUGGGGCUCUGUCACUCGCUCGGGAAGGACCUGCGGGGGUUGGUCACCACCAUGUUUUACCACGGUUGACCUCGGAUCAGGUAGGAGUUACCCGCUGAACUUAAGCAUAUCAAUAAGCGGAGGAA
rnacentral:rRNA from 1 species